rnacentral:tRNA from 1 species
GAUAGCUCAGCUGGUUAAAGCACAGUGCUGAUAAUGCCAAGGUUGCAGGUUCAAUCCCUGUAUUGUAGCA